UUAGUUGUAGCAGCUCAAGCUGUUGUAAAUCCUGCCCACUUCUUUGCAUCAUCAGCACAUGCUUCAGUGCUCUGAGAGAGUUUAUAGAGCUGUGAGUUUAACACUUCAUGACUGAGAGCAGAACAGAACACAAUCUUCAUCAUCACACAAGACACAACAACAACAAUGAACAACAUCAUCAUCCUCAUCUGGACUCUCACACUGUUUGCUCAAGAGUGUAGAGGACAGAUCACUGUAACUCAGAGUCCAUCAAUAACAGCAGCUCUACCAGGACAAGAAGUCAGAAUAAACUGUAAAACCAGCAGUAAUGUGUACAGUGAUAGUAAUGGGUCAAGGAUGGCCUGGUAUUUACAGAAACCUGGAGAAGCUCCUAAACUCCUCAUAUAUCUUGCAUCAACCCGUUACACUGGAACUUCAUCUAGAUUCAGUGGCAGUGGAUCUAACAGUGAUUUCACUCUGACCAUCAGUGGAGUCCAGACUGAAGAUACAGGAGAUUAUUACUGUCAGAGUGCACACUAUAUCAGUAGUAGCUAUGUGUUCACACAGUGAUAAAGAGUCGUACAAAAACCUCUGUC